rnacentral:snRNA from 1 species
GCACUCGCUUCGGCAGCACAUAGACUAAAAUUGGAAGGAUACAGAGAAGAUUAGCAUGGCCCCUGUCAAGGAUAACACGAAAAUUCGUGAAGUGUUCCAUAGUUUU